AGAUUGAACGCUGGCGGCAGGCCUAACACAUGCAAGUCGAGCGGUAGAGAGGUGCUUGCACCUCUUGAGAGCGGCGGACGGGUGAGUAAUGCCUAGGAAUCUGCCUAGUGGUGGGGGAUAACGUUCGGAAACGGACGCUAAUACCGCAUACGUCCUACGGGAGAAAGCGGGGGACCUUCGGGCCUCGCGCCAUUAGAUGAGCCUAGGUCGGAUUAGCUAGUUGGUGAGGUAAUGGCUCACCAAGGCGACGAUCCGUAACUGGUCUGAGAGGAUGAUCAGUCACACUGGAACUGAGACACGGUCCAGUACUCCUACGGGAGCAGCAGUGGGAAUAUUGGACAAGUGGGCGAAAGCCUGGAUCCAGCCAUCGCCGCGUGUGUAGGAAGAAGGUCUUA
rnacentral:rRNA from 1 species